GCAGUAAGUUUGAUCCUUUAUAACUUUGGUAUCGUUGGUUUUCUCUUUUUCGGCCUUUUCUAAGUGGAUUCGCCCAUUUCUCUCUUCAUUUUGAUAGUCAAUUUUGAGCCCAAAAGCCCCCAAAAUAUUUUAUUUUGAACGUUUUUAAUUAAAGCACAGGUUUAAUCCUGGCAUACGGACCAAUUGGCGGCCGACAGAAGAACGUAGCGUGCUAUUAAAAU